UGGGUUGUGGCUCAGUAGAGCACUUGCCUGGCAUGCGUGAGGCUCUGGGUUCGAUCCUCAGCACCACAU
rfam:Ictidomys tridecemlineatus contig017526, whole genome shotgun sequence.